rnacentral:snoRNA from 10 species
UGGAUCAAUGAUGUCCACUGGUGGCGUAUAAAUCAUAUUUGGUGAAUAUAUGUCUGGAACUCUGAGGUCCAA